GCGCCCUUAGCUCAGCUGGAUAGAGCGUAGGCUUCCGGUGCCUAAGGCCAGGGGUUCGACUCCCUUAGGGCGCGCCA
rnacentral:tRNA from 1 species